rnacentral:tRNA from 1 species
GCUGGUGUUGCUCAGUGGGUAGAGUGUCAGCCUGCAAACUGAAGGGUCCUGGGUUUGAUUCCAGUCACGGGCA